AGAACAUGAGCAGCUUGAUAUGGU
rnacentral:siRNA from 1 species